UCCUUUAACAUCCAAUUCUCAGAACAAAUUCGGACAUAAUUGUUUAUAAACCAUUUGUUUGUUUUAAUAUAUCCCUAAUUUGAAAAGAUUUGUUUUCUACAUGCUCGUCGUAUGUCUGACUAAUUUAUGCCUCUUUAAUUUUGUUAAUCGUCCUCUUUUUUAAGUAUACGUAUUUGUUUCUGCAGUUUUUAUUUUCAGGGCUUGUCGCUAUUUGAAUGUCUUUGUGAUCAGAUCUCUUUUUGAAUGGUUAGCAGUGUGUGGAAAGAGAUGGAGUGUAUUGCGUCUUAUUAUUUGGCCAACGAACGAACCCCUUUGGGGAAGCUUGUACUUGAAGAACAUGUGGAAAGUGAGCCAAGUUUCGAUGAUAAUUCAAUAUUUACAAGGUUUCAAAAUCAUCGUUGCAAUAUUUACAAGGUUUCAAAUAAAUAAAUAAAUAAAUUGUGACGCUAACCUACUUACUGUGUAACUAUAUCAUCAUUAUAACAACAACAGGAAAGAGGAUGAACGUGACAGAAUCUCAAAAACCAUAGCAAAAAGAAAAUGAAGGCUUGUUGUACUUAUGUAUUUAAUGCUUAUAUCUGCUUUUGGGAUUUGAGUGUUUAGAAGAUGGAUUUAAUUAUCUUGCCAUUUGUCCCUCUACAAGAUAAGACUACCAAAAAAGAUAUGAAGAAACCAACGAUGUGUCCGUAAAUAUAUUUGUGUUGUUACCAAAUAAAUUAAAUAAUCUGGUUGUUACUUUUAGAUUCAGCGGUGCUUGAAACUUGUCAUGAAAGGUUACCCUCGCGUAGUAUGUGAAGAUUGGCAGCAAGAGGAAGGAUAACUCUUUCUUUUACCGUGCGGAGGGUUUUAGGAACCUAACACAAGUUUAAAAAAAUUAUAUUAAAACUUAUUUUUAAUACAAUCUAUCAUCUUCACCAAAUACAAGAGUGUAAAAUUAUAAAAGAAAUAAGUUUAUUAAGUAAAUAUGAUAUAAUUCUAUCAUAUAGAAAAAGUAAAGUUGAAUCUAAAAGGUUAACAAGUCGAACUCUAGUGGAAAGUAUUAUUUAAUUUGGGACCUAAAAAAAAAUAAUAUUAAUCGGAGGAUUGAGGCGAAUAUCUUUUUUGAUGCACUGUAGGCACAGCUUUAUUUCUUUAAUAUAUACACGAUUUUCUCCGGUAUCCGGGCUAGAAUUCUUUGUGAAAAUCAGAAUAUUUGUUGUUUAUUAUCAUUUUUGUUGGUCGUACCUGAUUCAAAGAAGUUAAUAUAUGAGGAAUUCACACACAAUAAAAAGCUGAAAUGGUAAGACUAUGGCUAUUUAUGGAUAUAAUAUCAACUUUUAGAUUGUAUAAACUUGAUCAUUUAACUUUAGUUCUAAUUCGGUUGAUAUGACAAUCAGUAAAACAAAUAAAUAUUGUCACUAAUAAAGUAUUCCAAAAAUAUUUUCAGUAAAACUAUAUAUGAUAUAUGCAAUUAUGUAUCUUAUUCAUUUAGAAUAUUUUUUAUUGAAAUGGUUUGUGGUUCUUUCUCAUUUUACUUAUAUUAUACAUUUUUAAAAUUCAUGAAAAAAAUAAAAGAUCUGUAUUUUUCUCCUUAUUUUAUUAUACUUUGAUAGCAAAAUAAGAUGAUUUCUAUAAAAGUAUAGAUUAUACAAAGUGGCAUAUGUUUUUAAUAAAAUUAGUUCACUAUAAUAACUUAAAAAUGCAUAGAUACUUUAAUGUGUGUGCCUUUACUAAUUGGUACUGACAUAUUUUUAAUUUUAUUACAACUAACUAAUAAAAAAUAUAACUGCAUGUAAGUAGUAAGUUAUUUGUAACACAUGUAUUUCUUCAAAACAAUUAUAUAAAAUGUGGUAUA